rnacentral:rRNA from 1 species
UACGUAGGGGGCGAGCGUUGUCCGGAAUUAUUGGGCGUAAAGAGCGUGUAGGCGGUUCGGUAAGUCUGUCGUGAAAACCUGGGGCUCAACCCUCGGAUGCCGGUGGAUACUGUCGGGCUCGAGUCCGGAAGAGGAGUGUGGAAUUCCUGGUGUAGCGGUGAAAUGCGCAGAUAUCAGGAGGAACACCAAUGGCGAAGGCAGCACUCUGGGACGUACUGACGCUGAGACGCGAAAGCGUGGGGAGCGAACAGG